GAUGAACGCUGGCGGCGUGCCUAAUACAUGCGAGUCGAGCGAACAGACGAGGAGCUUGCUCCUCUGACGUUAGCGGCGGACGGGUGAGUAACACGUGGAUAACCUACCUAUAAGACUGGGAUAACUUCGGGAAACCGGAGCUAAUACCGGAUAAUAUAUUGAACCGCAUGGUUCAAUAGUGAAAGACGGUUUUGCUGUCACUUAUAGAUGGAUCCGCGCCGCAUUAGCUAGUUGGUAAGGUAACGGCUUACCAAGGCAACGAUGCGUAGCCGACCUGAGAGGGUGAUCGGCCACACUGGAACUGAGACACGGUCCAGACUCCUACGGGAGGCAGCAGUAGGGAAUCUUCCGCAAUGGGCGAAAGCCUGACGGAGCAACGCCGCGUGAGUGAUGAAGGUCUUCGGAUCGUAAAACUCUGUUAUUAGGGAAGAACAAAUGUGUAAGUAACUAUGCACGUCUUGACGGUACCUAAUCAGAAAGCCACGGCUAACUACGCG
rnacentral:rRNA from 1 species